rnacentral:rRNA from 1 species
AUUGAACGCUGGCGGCAGGCCUAACACAUGCAAGUCGAGCGGGGUUUUCGGACCUAGCGGCGGACGGGUGAGUAAUGCGUAGGAAGCUACCCGACAGAGGGGGAUACCAGUUGGAAACGACUGUUAAUACCGCAUAAUGUCUACGGACCAAAGUGUGGGACCUUCGGGCCACAUGCUGUCGGAUGCGCCUACGUGGGAUUAGCUAGUUGGUGAGGUAAUGGCUCACCAAGGCGACGAUCCCUAGCUGGUUUGAGAGGAUGAUCAGCCACACUGGAACUGAGACACGGUCCAGACUCCUACGGGAGGCAGCAGUGGGGAAUAUUGGACAAUGGGCGCAAGCCUGAUCCAGCCAUGCCGCGUGUGUGAAGAAGGCCU